UUUUAAUUUCCCUAGAAAUUUCUGAUGUAGCUCACCAGGAUUGGCAAUAAAGCCUCUGACAUGCAACCUGUCGUGGCCAAUCAAGAAAUGAAUGAAGGAUGUCAAAAUAUUCUGAAAAAGUGAGAAUUAUAUAUGCUCCCAAGUGGCCAUGCAGUGUUCUUCCUUCUGUGGAACCGUGUGGCGCUUAAAUUGUGACACUGGUGAUUGGCCCAAGAAAGUCAAAAGUAAAAGCUGCAGAAAGAGCUUGGCUUUGAUUUCAAAUCUCUGUGCAAGGAGGUCUUACACGCACAUACAGCACACCCACACACAAUAUUUUUAAUCACAUGUGGAUUUGAUCCUGGAGUUCUCGCGGUAAGAAUCAAAUGCUAUUCGAAC